GACGAACGCUGGCGGCGUGCCUAAUACAUGCAAGUCGAACGAGAGCAACCGGUGCUUGCACUGGUCAAUCUAGUGGCGAACGGGUGAGUAACACGUGGGUAACCUGCCCAUCAGAGGGGGAUAACAUCCGGAAACGGAUGCUAAAACCGCAUAGGUCUUCGAACCGCAUGGUUUGAAGAGGAAAAGAGGCGCAAGCUUCUGCUGAUGGAUGGACCCACGGUGCAUUAGCUAGUUGGUGAGGUAACGGCUCACCAAGGCCGUGAUGCAUAGCCGACCUGAGAGGGUGAUCGGCCACAUUGGGACUGAGACACGGCCCAAACUCCUACGGGAGGCAGCAGUAGGGAAUCUUCCGCAAUGGACGUAAGUCUGACGGAGCAACGCCGCGUGAGUGAAGAAGGUUUUCGGAUCGUAAAACUCUGUUGUUAGAGAAGAACAAGUGCUAGAGUAACUGUUAGCGCCUUGACGGUAUCUAACCAGAAAGCCACGGCUAACUACGU
rnacentral:rRNA from 1 species